UACAGAGGCCUCGAGCGUUAGGCGGAAUCACUGGGCUUAAAGCGUGUGUAGGCGGACUUCUAAGUACCUUGUGAAAUCCCACGGCUUACCCGUGGAACUGCUGGGUAUACUGGUUGUCUUGAGCUUUCUAGGGGCGAGCGGAACAAAUGGUGGAGCGGUGAAAUGCGUAGAUAUCAUUUGGAACGCCAAAGGUGAAAACAGACAGCUGGGGAUGUGCUGACGCUGAGACACGAAAGCCAGGGGAGCGAACGGG
rnacentral:rRNA from 1 species